UACGUAGGUGACAAGCGUUGUCCGGAAUUACUGGGCUUAAAGGGUGCGUAGGCGGCGCGGAAAGUUGGGUGUGAAAUCCCUCGGCUCAACCGAGGAACUGCGCCCAAAACUACCGUGCUCGAGGAAGAUAGAGGUGAGCGGAACUUACGGUGGAGCGGUGAAAUGCGUUGAUAUCGUAAGGAACACCCGUGGCGAAAGCGGCUACACUGGGUCUUUUCUGACGCUGAUGCACGAAAGCUAGGGGAGCAAACGGG
rnacentral:rRNA from 1 species